rnacentral:lncRNA from 10 species
GCAGCUUCGGCGGUCAACGCGCUUUAUUCCGAGGGGCUUCAGAUACAGAUGACCCCAGCCCUGCAUCCGCCCGGAAGGCGUCCCCUUACUCCCAUGGGGCACCUCGAUACCAGCUGCCCUGCCCUGACUCACUUCUCAGCACCCAUCUUACGGCAGUCGGCCCUGGCCUCAGACCCUUGGGUUCAGAUCCCAGGCCCUCCUCCUACUCACUGUGAGACCCUAGGAAAAGAGAUGUCCAGGGCACAGCUUGGGGCCCCAGAAAGUAACCACGGAGGUCAAGAUCACAAACCCGUCAGUGUCCAGGGCAUGGCCUCGCACACAUCCGAGGUUUUCAAGGACCAUGAAGUGCCAUGGCAAGCAUCCUGGCCUGAGGGUUAGGAGAGCUGGAUCUCAGGCUCAACUUUAGCCUGAAUUCGGUGCGUCAUCUUAGACAAAUCUGGUGAGCUCUGAGGGCUGGGGUAAGGUUGAGAAACUGUGGGCUCCUCAGGGUGGGGGGUGCUUAGAGAAGAUGGGGCCUCUGAGUCCUCAGACUGGGGGUCUUCAUCGGGUUCAGCAUCCUCCCCAGGCCCAAGCCCUGCCAGCCUCUUGCUGGCCUCCCAUAGCCGAUGGGCUGCCCGGUCGUCUCGGGCAGCUGGAGGCACCUCUUCCACAUGGCAGUUGGCAAAAUAUCUCCCACUGAGGGGCUCGAUGCCCUCUUGUAGAGCACAAUACAGGGGUGUCUGGGCACCCCCUCUUGGUGCCCGGAGCACCAGCCAAGCCAAUGGGCGCAAAAGUGGGCGCAGCCAUCCAGGAACAUGGCGCAGGAACAGCUCCGAGUUCACAGGCCCUGUAGGCAGGAA